GAUGAACGCUGGCGGCGUGCCUAAUACAUGCAAGUCGAGCGAGCAGACGAGGAGCUUGCUCCUCUGACGUUAGCGGCGGACGGGUGAGUAACGCGUGGAUAACCUACCUAUAAGACUGGGAUAACUUCGGGAAACCGGAGCUAAUACCGGAUAAUAUAUUGAACCGCAUGGUUCAAUAGUGAAAGACGGUUUUGCUGUCACUUAUAGAUGGAUCCGCGCCGCAUUAGCUAGUUGGUAAGGUAACGGCUUACCAAGGCAACGAUGCGUAGCCGACCUGAGAGGGUGAUCGGCCACACUGGAACUGAGACACGGUCCAGACUCCUACGGGAGGCAGCAGUAGGGAAUCUUCCGCAAUGGGCGAAAGCCUGACGGAGCAACGCCGCGUGAGUGAUGAAGGUCUUCGGAUCGUAAAACUCUGUUAUUAGGGAAGAACAAAUGUGUAAGUAACUAUGCACGUCUUGACGGUACCUAAUCAGAAAGCCACGGCUAACUACGUG
rnacentral:rRNA from 1 species